UUUACUAGGGUAAGCUUGGCGGCGUGGGUGAAGGAGGCUUUGUUGCGGAAUAGAAAGCCGACUCUUGAUUUGAUUUUCGAUUGGAGAUGUUUGAUGUGAGUCUGGAAGGAGAGUUUGCAGUCUAGCCAGACACCUAGGUACUUAUAGAUGUCCACAUAUUCAAGGUCGGAACCAUCCAGGGUGGUGAUGCUAGUCGGGCAUGCGGGUGCAGGCAGCGAUCGGUUGAAAAGCAUGCAUUUGGUUUUACUCGCGUUUCAGAGCAGUUGGAGGCCACGGAAGGAGUGCUGUAUGGCAUUGAAGCUCGUUUGGAGGUUAGAUAGCACAGUGUCCAAUGACGGGCCGAAAGUAUAUAGAAUGGUGUCGUCUGCGUAGAGGUGGAUCAGGGAAUCGCCCGCAGCAAGAGCAACAUCAUUGAUAUAUACAGAGAAAAGAGUCGGCCCGAGAAUUGAACCCUGUGGCACCCCCAUAGAGACUGCCAGAGGACCGGACAGCAUGCCCUCCGAUUUGACACACUGAACUCUGUCUGCAAAGUAAUUGGUGAACCAGGCAAGGCAGUCAUCCGAAAAACCGAGGCUACUGAGUCUGAUAUAAGAAUAUGGUGAUUGACAGAGUCGAAACCAAGGGCUGUAUGAUGAUCAACUCUGUUCUACUGAGUUUGUAUGCCAGUGUAACGGUGUAAUGAAGUUAUAUUUUUUAAAUAUAUGUAACCUUUAUUUAACGAGGCAAGUCAGUUAAGAACAAAUUCUUAGUUACAUUUACGGCCUACCCCGGCCAAACCCUAACCCAGAUGAUGCUGGGCCAAUUGUGGACUGCCCUAUGCGACUCCAAGUCACAGCUUGUUAUGUUAGUGAGGCCCCUAGCACUGAGAUGCCGUACCUUAGACUGCUGAGCUGCUGGUGUGUUUACAUUACACUCCGUGUAAUACACUCAGUGAUAAAGGCAUGGGAUUCACGGUAAUCCACAGCAGAUUUUUGGAGAAUUUGAAAAUUGAGGGGUCCUGGGAUAGAAAUGUAUAAAAUUGACAUUACAUCAUACAUUAGCAAUUUAUGUUUUAGUAACUACUGUUGUUGGUUUGGAGUCAAAUAUUUGUACCUCCUGUUUCAUGAAGUGAUGUCACUGAGUACUGCCCCUAUAUAUACAGAGCAUUCAGGAAGUAUUCAGACCCCUUCACCCUUUCUACAUUUUGUUACGCCUUAUUCUUACAUGGAUUAAAUAUUUUUUCCCCCUCAUCAAUCUACACAUAAUACCCAAUAAUGACAUGACAAUACCCCACAAUGACAUCACAAUACCCCAUAAUGACAUCACAAUACCCCAUAUUAAAAAGCAAAAACAGGUUUUUAUAAAUUAUAAAUUAAAAAACAUGAUUUUCUUUCAAAAACAAGGACAUUUCUAAGUGACCCCAAACUUUUGAAAUGUAUUUUAAAUUAUUUUUAUAACAAGGCUAACGUAAUACAAUGCGGAAACAGUGGGAAGGAAUGUUGGUACACCAUGUUGGAGCAGUAUUUACCUACUCUGUUCAUUAUAUGCAUCUACAUGAUGUAUUGUUACAUGAUGUAGGAGCAGUAUAGACCGACAGUAGCUUGCUACUUAUUUAGAUUUAGUAUGACUUAAUGAAACUGCCUUAAAUAUGUUGUAGUAAAAAAAAAGCACUAAUCAAUCAACACAUUCCUGUCUUUUGUAUGUCUCAAUAUAAUAGUAUUAUUUAAUUAAAUCCAUUUAAAAUAAUCUUUGUCUGAAAAUAAAAUGUGAUCCUCAACUGCGUUUCCCCUCCAGUCAGCAGACGGCGAUGUGCGUCUUUCAGGCGACGUUGCCAGCGUUACGUAUAAUCUAGUGGACGGUUCUUCAGAAACAGCUCGUCAAACACCUCGGUAGCUUGCUAACCAACAUAGCCGAACGAUUCAAGCUAUUUAUUCGCUUUAGGUGUAUAUUAACUACUGUGUUUUAGACACUCCUCUGUUGUAUCUACUUGUUAACCUAUUUAAUUUAAUAUUACGUUAUGAGUCAGCUAUAGUAGCUGGCUGGUUAAGUUAGCACUAGCCUAGUCGCUAAUGAUAGAUAGCUAGCUAACAUCCCCGACCAUGAGCUCCCUACACUACUCCCCUCCUGUUAAAGAAGAGUUAGGGUCUGCUGGACGGAGAAAGAAUAUCUGGGGCUGAACAUUGUUGUGAAAGAGGAGAAGGAAGAACAGGAUGUUACAGUAAAACAAGAAGAGGAAGAUUUGGUUUUUGGAGUGGAGGAUGAAGUGAAAGAAGAUGAAGACGUUUUUGGAAUGAAGGAUGAGGAGGGGGAGAUUACUGUCACAUUAGAGGAGGGCGAAGAAGAGAAGACUGGAGAACUGAUUAACACCAGUUAAUACAUUGAGAGAGAUACGGGACUAUCGUGGAUCCUCAACAACAUCAUGAUGCUGACGAGGCAGAGAAGAGUCUCCAGAUCGAAACACCUGCAGAGACCCACAGGGAUGAAAUUUCACCACUGCUCUGACUGUGGGAAGAGUUACUCAAGAUCAGAAAGAUUCACCUCUUCAGUAGACCUUAAAAUACAUCAGAGAAUUCACACUGGAGAGAAACCUUAUGUCUGUGAUCAAUGUGGGAAGAGUUUUACUCAGUCAAGCGGCCUGAUAUCACACCAGAUAACAUACACAGGAGUGAAACCAUAUAGCUGUACUCAAUGUGGGAAGAGUUUUGCUACAUCUGGCUAUCUGAAGAUACCAGAGAAUACACACAAAAGAGAAACCUUAUAACUGUAAUCAAUGUGGUAAGAGUUUUACUCAAGUCAAACAGCCUGAUAUAACACCAGCGGACACACACAUGAGAGAAACCUUAUGGCUAUGAUCAAUGUGACAAGAGAUACUCUGAUAAAAUAUAUCUAAUCAAACAUCAUGAAAUACAUACAUGAAGGAGUUGUUUCACGAUAUCAAUGAAAUAUUGUCACAAUGUAGAAUGUUUUAACAUUGUUGAAGGAGUAUUUUAAUGAUGCCCCGAUGUAGAACCCUAAAUGUUUUCCCCCUGUUCAAUUUGAUAAAUUGAUUUCAGCAUGAUAUGGAUUUUAGCCUCAGGGGAAAAAUCCAGGUUCUGAAUUGAAAGAGUAUUAUUUAUGUGAUUUAACAAAACUGUACUAACAAAAAAAGAGUUGUGUUACACUUACCACAUUGGUGACCCUCUUUAAUCAAAAUGCAACACUUCAAAAUGUAGCGAGCUGUUUACAUCUAUUACUAUUUAUGUAAAUUAACAAAAAGUGAUGAACAAAAAAAGAGCAGAUGUGAUGUUGUUUGUAUGAUGUUGUGUUUUGUUUAUAAAAUUAAAUGUAAAUAUUUUCAGGUCUUUUUUCAAUGACUUGAUAAAUUAA